rnacentral:sRNA from 1 species
GAAAGCACUGAAAUGAAAGGCAGUCGGCGGGGCUGUGGCGGGCUGUCAUUUCCUUCCUGGGCCGCUGGUCAUCUUCCACGACGUUGCUGUGCUGACGGAUAAGCUCUUCCCCGUCGUGGAGGCCAUGCAGAAGUACUUCAGUGCUGGCUCGGGAACCUACUACAGUGACUCCAUCUUCUUUCUCUCGGUUGCCAUGCAUCAGAUCAUGCCAAAAGAGGGUACACCUCUUGUACAAGAUAGAACAUCUUGCGCAUAACAGAAGGCCCGUCUGUCGGUCCCAUUUUCCAAGAACCAGACCUUCUUGCAGUGGCCACAACAGAUGGAAGCCAAUUUUUCAGAGAGCCCAAGAACAGACCAAUCCUAGCCUGAAUCCCAAGAGUUCAGUGGGAGACACAUUGUAUUAGUCUGUUCUCACACUGCUACGAAGAAAUACCUGAGACUGGGGCUACAGAGCCAGAAAGAGGAGCAUAGAAAGAAAAAGGAACAGGAAACUGUUCAAAAGAAGUUCAUGAAAUGAGAAAAGCAGCAGGAAAAGCUCGGGAAUCGGGGAGGCUGCAGCCAAAG